rnacentral:rRNA from 1 species
UACGUAGGGGGCAAACGUUGUCCGGAAUCAUUGGGCGUAAAGCGCGUGUAGGCGGCCCGGUAAGUCCGCUGUGAAAGUCGGGGGCUCAACCCUCGAAUGCCGGUGGAUACUGUCGGGCUAGAGUGCGGAAGAGGCGAGUGGAAUUCCUGGUGUAGCGGUGAAAUGCGUAGAUAUCUGGAGGAACACCGGUGGCGAAGGCGGCGUCCUGGACCAACACUGACACUGAGGAGCGAAAGCCAGGGGAGCAAACGGG